rnacentral:tRNA from 1 species
GGUGCUGUGAUUAGGCAUUUGGCUGCUAACCAAAAGAUUGGUAGUUCAAAUCCACCCAGCCUCU